CCUACGGGGAGCUGCAGUGAGGAAUAUUGGUCAAUGGACGAGAGUCUGAACCAGCCAAGUAGCGUGAAGGAUGACUGCCCUAUGGGUUGUAAACUUCUUUUAUAUGGGAAUAAAAUGUUCCACGUGUGGGAUUUUGUAUGUACCAUAUGAAUACGGAUCGGCUAACUCCGUGCCAGCAGCCGCGGUAAUACGGAGGAUCCGAGCGGUAUCCGGAUUUAUUGGGUUUAACGGGAGCGUAGGUGGAUGGUUAAGUCAGUUGUGAAAGUUUGCGGCUCAACCGUAAAAUUGCAGUUGAAACUGGCAGUCUUGAGUAAAGUAGAGGUGGGCGGAAUUCGUGGUGUAGCGGUGAAAUGCUUAGAUAUCACGAAGAACUCCGAUUGCGAAGGCAGUUCACUGGACUGCAACUGACACUGAGGCUCGAAAGUGUGGGUAUCAAACAGGAUUAGAUACCCGUGUAGUC
rnacentral:rRNA from 1 species